GGGUCUAGUGGGAAGAGGAUAUGAAUGGGCCAGAGUCCAUAGCAAAAUUUAAAAGUUGUGCUGAAAAUCGUUGCAUAAUUUGAGCCUGCACAGUUGACACGUAGUGACCAAAGCACAUUGACAUGAGAAAGCAAGCGUAGGUUAAGAAGAAAGACACCCAGCGGCGCACAUUAUCCUAGGACACAGUGCUCCAAGUCCCACAAAUGGUAAUAAUCAGCAAAACCAAAGAUCGGACACGAAUUCGGCGUGUAUCGCAUUUACAUGCUUCCAAGUUUUUCAUGUUAUUGUCUCGAACCUCGAAACACUCUUAACCGCAACAACUACAAACAACGGCAAUAGCAGCAGAAGAAAACCCACGCAUCCUAUUUUCGUUGUCCAAAAAUCCCACAAAACCCCGCGCCUACUUCUUCUCCCUUAUCAAAUCCACUCGCCAAUCUCCAAUUUCUUCACUCCUUUAGAUCUUUCUUUCUCUACCAAUUCCUUGCUCUUUGUUUCUUGAUUUUCUUUGCGGCGUGUAAUGUAGUUUACAACCAGGGAGAGAUGGCGGGACAGGUGGUGAAAGUAAAGAGGGACAUAAUACAGGCAUGCAUGACUUGUCCUCUUUGUAAGAAGCUGCUAAGGGAUGCUACCACUAUAUCUAUGUGUCUUCAUACGUUUUGCAGGAAGUGUAUAUAUGAAAAGCUCUCAGAUGAAGAGGUAGACUGCUGUCCUGUAUGCAAUAUUGAUCUGGGCCGUCUGCCUGUGGAGAAACUGAGGCCAGACCAUAAUUUGCAAGAUAUAAGGGCCAAAAUAUUUCCUUUUAAAAGAAGAAAAAUUAAGGCCCCUGAAGUUAUGCCUUCAAUUGCAUUGCCAGCAAAAAGAAAGGAGAGAUCAUUGUCAUCAUUGGUGGUUAGCACUCCCAAAGUGCCCAUGCAAACUGGCUUGACGGGAAGGAGGUCUAAAGCUUGUGCAAGAAAAGCUGCUGCUUUACGAUGCAGUUUUACUGUUGAUGAAUCCAAUAAAAAAGAAGAUUCUGCAGAAGAUCAUCCAAUGAGCUCAAGCUCUCCUGAGACUCCUAAUAAAAUUAUUCAAAAUAAAAGGCAGGAUUCUUCUGUUGGUGACCCUCUUAAAACACUAAAGCAUAAGGAAGAACCAGAAGAUGAUGUAGAAAUAAUAGAAGGGAAAGCUGAUUUAUGGACUCCCUUAAAUUGUCUUGUUGAAGCUGCUAACAGAAGCAAGUCCUCAAAGUCAAAGUUGCAAGGGCUCUCUCUUGCCAAAUCAGAACUACUUAGUGCACCCAGUAGUGAAUUCCAGUCACCUGGAACGAAGUCCAGAGCAGAUUCCCCCAAUGGUCAUGAAAGUGAAGUAUAUAUGCCUAAAACCAAAAAUAAGGAGCAUGGGCAGGAUAUGAAAGUCCAAGAUGAUAAUAAUGUGAUAAAUUCACUUCAUGCAUCAGUCAAGCGUAGAAGAUUGACAGCAUCACGGAAAAGGGCAGCUAUGGCUGAAGAGCUAAGUGCCUCAGCACAACGCAUGCUUGAUGCUGGAGGUGCUAAGAACAACAGAAGAAAUUGUCCAAUUUGGUUUUCAUUAGUUGCCUCUGAAGACCAGAAAGGAGAUGAUUCCUUGCCACAAAUAUCUGCAUGUUACCUGAGGAUUAAGGAUGGUAAAAUGCCUGUCUCGUUCAUUCAGAAGUAUCUUGUAAAAAAACUUGAUCUGGCUAGCGAGGCUGAGGUGAGUUCUCUCUUGCCUUCACAUUUAUGGUAUGUAUAUAAUGUCUUAGAAAAAUGUUUUCCUGUUCUUUAACAUUGUUUUGCGAAAGUGAAAAUGAAAGGAAAAAAAUGUCAAAAACUAGUUGCUUUUGUCUUGCGUAGGUGGAGAUAAUCUGCCGGGGACAAGCAGUACUUCCAACCUUACAAUUACACAACUUGGUGGACUUGUGGUUUCAGACAGCAUCAACGUCGAAGAAGGUACCAGCAUCGGUGGGUUCCUCAGCUAAGGACUUUGUAAUGGUAUUAUCAUAUUGUCGCAAAGUUCAAGCUUCUUAAAAUAGCAAAACAUCUUUGUUCGUUGUCUUUGAUCAUUUACGUCUUGGAUUAGCAAAAUAUAUAUUGUUGGAUCUUGUGAAGCUGUAUGCUUAGUAACAUGCAUGCGAUUAUGUAUCGAUGGUAUUGGAGAGGUUCCUACUUCAUAUAUAGAAUCACUUCUUCUUCUUUUUUAAAAUUCUUGAUUUGUAAUCUCCAUAUUGAUUUAUUUUUUAUUAGCCUAACUUUCGAACUUUAAAAUUGCCUUUCAACUUGGGUAAAAUCAAGUUGAUGUUAUUAAUUUCUUUUAUUUACUUAAUUAAAAU
rnacentral:misc_RNA from 1 species